rnacentral:rRNA from 1 species
AGUGAACGCUGGCGGUAGGCCUAACACAUGCAAGUCGAACGGCAGCACAGUAAGAGCUUGCUCUUACGGGUGGCGAGUGGCGGACGGGUGAGGAAUACAUCGGAAUCUACUUGUUCGUGGGGGAUAACGUAGGGAAACUUACGCUAAUACCGCAUACGACCUACGGGUGAAAGCAGGGGAUCUUCGGACCUUGCGCGACUGAAUGAGCCGAUGUCGGAUUAGCUAGUUGGCGGGGUAAAGGCCCACCAAGGCGACGAUCCGUAGCUGGUCUGAGAGGAUGAUCAGCCACACUGGAACUGAGACACGGUCCAGACUCCUACGGGAGGCAGCAGUGGGGAAUAUUGGACAAUGGGCGCAAGCCUGAUCCAGCCAUACCGCGUGGGUGAAGAAGGCCUUCGGGUUGUAAAGCCCUUUUGUUGGGAAAGAAAAGCAGCAGGUUAAUACCCCGCUGUUCUGACGGUACCCAAAGAAUAAGCACCGGCUAACUUCGUG